UACACCAAGUGUUAUAUAGGGCA
rnacentral:siRNA from 1 species